rnacentral:rRNA from 1 species
UACGUAGGGGGCAAGCGUUGUCCGGAAUUAUUGGGCGUAAAGAGCUUGUAGGCGGUCUGUCGCGUCUGCUGUGAAAAUCCGGGGCUCAACCCCCGGACUUGCAGUGGGUACGGGCAGACUAGAGUGUGGUAGGGGAGACUGGAAUUCCUGGUGUAGCGGUGAAAUGCGCAGAUAUCAGGAGGAACACCGAUGGCGAAGGCAGGUCUCUGGGCCACUACUGACGCUGAGAAGCGAAAGCAUGGGGAGCGAACAGG